GACGAACCGUGCGAACGUUGUUCGGAAUCACUGGGCUUAAAGGGCGCGUAGGCGGGUGUGCAAGUCUGCGGUGAAAGCCUCCAGCUUAACUGGAGAAGUGCCGUGGAUACUGCAUAUCUUGAGGAGGGUAGGGGCAUCUGGAACAUUUGGUGGAGCGGUGAAAUGCGUUGAUAUCCAAUGGAACUCCGGUGGCGAAGGCGAGGUGCUGGACCCUUUCUGACGCUGAGGCGCGAAAGCCAGGGGAGCAAACGGG
rnacentral:rRNA from 1 species